CCGCAAGUGGAGAAUAUCAGCUCAGUCUAAGAAGCUGAAGCAUAUGAGCAGUUCCUUAGGAGCAAUAUGGAACAGAUUCAACAAUCAAAAGCAAAACUCUUAGGUGUCCAAGGAUUUGUCCA